UUGGUUUUGAGUUUUUAAUCUUCUCAGACAGUGAUACAAAAUUAAGACAAAUAUUAAGAGUUUGAACUAAAUGUGCAAAUUAUAGGCUUCUACAAAAAGGUAUGUACAAUUAUUUACAGAAUGUCUUCUAUUCAAAGUACUCUACUCAAAACAACAUUGACUAGCUUAUAGAAAAUGUGCACAAGCUUUGCCACAUUUCUUGGUCCUUUAUGUCCACUAUAAUCACAGAAAAUGACAUUAUAUUUUGGCAAAUUGGACCCCUACAUAUACAUAUAUUUAAACUGGAAUAAAAUAGUGGAACAAGGCUUGGACAAAAAAAAUGCCUCUCGUUUUCUAUUUACAAAGUACAUUCAUAAAAAAGUAUCGUCAAAAUGACUCGUAUUAUACAAAAACAGACACAAGUUAGGCGACCUUCAGCAAAAACAAGACAAACGGACAAAACAACAACUAUACAGAACCCUGAGACACUUUGCACAUUAAAAACAUGGCGGUCAAGAACAUCACUUAGCGUUCCGGUCCGAGCAGGACUCGAACCCCCACACUCUCCCCUGUGCCAAGCGUGUUUUAUGUCGAGGAAGAAGACGCACACUUAGGCUGACCAAAAUUGAAGGAAGCCGGAGUCCAACCGUCUAAAAAUAAAGCGGAAGGAGGAAGAUUGCUCCUUUUUUCGUCCCCCCCCAAAAAAAAAAAAUGCAUCCACUUCUUGGUCCUGGUUCUAUUCUCAGCCCUGCCGUGGCCAUGUUCAGCUCCCGUCAGCAGUUUCAGCACAGCCCUUUGCACCUGGGUAACGAGAGACUGUCCCGGAGUCAGAUGAAGGUGCGAGUGCCGAGACGACGCCCCGAGGUCAGCGCUUUGUUCCAGUAACAGCCGGUGUGCAAGAACAAACAAAAGCACUUCCUGGUCGCAUGUGCCACCAAACAGCCUCCUCCUCCCCUCUUUUACACGGACUGCACUCCUGCUCCAUCUCCUCUACCCUCCAGCCGUCGGUCACGGGCGAGAGCGAGAC
ensembl:lncRNA